UUUACUCGACCGUACCCAUUACUACUUGGAUAUCCGUGGUAAUUCUAGAGCUAAUACAUGCACAAAAGCCGCGACUUCUGGGAGCGGUGUACUUAUUAGAUAAAAAGCCAGUCCCUCCCUCGCGGGGGGGUCACCUGGUGAUUCAUGGUCAUUGGUCGGAUCGCACGGCCUCUGCGCCGGCGACGGGUCGUUCAAGUCUCUGCCCUAUCAACUUUCGAUGGUGGGAUAGGGGCCCACCAUGGUUGUGACGGGUAACGGGGAAUUAGGGUUCGAUUCCGGAGAGGGAGCCUGAGAGACGGCUACCACAUCUAAGGAAGGCAGCAGGCGCGCAAAUUACCCAAUCCCGACUCGGGGAGGUAGUGACAAUAAAUAACAAUCCGGGGCCUCUGGUCCCGGAAUUGGAAUGAGAACAAUUUAAAUCCCUUAACGAGGAACAAUUGGAGGGCAAGUCUGGUGCCAGCAGCCGCGGUAAUUCCAGCUCCAAUAGCGUAUAUUAAAAGUUGUUGCAGUUAAAUAGCUCGUAGUUGAAUCCCGGGCCCGCGCUUUGGCGGGCGGGUGCCGACAGGUUUUCGUGCGCGGCGGUUUCGGCCGUCGCGUACGAGGCCAGCCGGCUCACUCGCCCGCCGCGGGCCCAUAAACCGCUCCCCUUUCGGCCCCGGCGUUGUCCUCGCGGGCCGCGCCGGAUCCAAGGCCGGGGGACCUUUACUUUGAAAAAAUUAGAGUGUUCAAAGCAGGCACACGCCGCUCGCAUAGAUUAGCAUGGAAUAACGGAACAGGGCCGCGUCCCUAUUUCGCUGGUUUCUAAGGACGAGGCAAUGGUUAACAGGAACAACUGGGGGCAUUGGUAUUUGGCAGUCAGAGGUGAAAUUCUUGGAUUUGCCAAAGACCGACUACUGCGAAAGCAUCUGCCAAGGGUGUUUUCAUUGAUCAAGAACGAAAGUUGGGGGAUCGAAGACGAUCAGAUACCGUSGUAGUCUCAACCAUAAACGAUGCCGACCGGGG
rnacentral:rRNA from 1 species